rnacentral:rRNA from 1 species
UGCCCUACGGGAGGCAGCAGUGGGGGAUAUUGCACAAUGGGGGGAACCCUGAUGCAGCGACGCCGCGUGGGCGAUGGAGCGCCUCGGCGCGUAAAGCCCUAUCAGCAGGGAAGAAGAUGACGGUACCUGACUAAGAAGCCCCGGCUAAAUACGUGCCAGCAGCCGCGGUAAUACGUAGGGGGCAAGCGUUAUCCGGAUUUACUGGGUGUAAAGGGAGCGUAGACGGCAGCGCAAGUCUGGAGUGAAAUGCCGGGGCUCAACCCCGGAACUGCUUUGGAAACUGUGCAGCUAGAGUGCGGGAGAGG